UUGAUUAUGACGUACUUGUACUGAUUGAGAUUUUAACACGAAGUGAGUGGCGAACGGGUGAGUAACACGUGGGUAACCUGCCCAGAAGUAGGGGAUAACACCUGGAAACAGAUGCUAAUACCGUAUAACAGAGAAAACCGCAUGGUUUUCUUUUAAAAGAUGGCUCUGCUAUCACUUCUGGAUGGACCCGCGGCGUAUUAGCUAGUUGGUGAGGUAAAGGCUCACCAAGGCAGUGAUACGUAGCCGACCUGAGAGGGUAAUCGGCCACAUUGGGACUGAGACACGGCCCAGACUCCUACGGGAGGCAGCAGUAGGGAAUCUUCCACAAUGGACGCAAGUCUGAUGGAGCAACGCCGCGUGAGUGAAGAAGGGUUUCGGCUCGUAAAGCUCUGUUGUUAAAGAAGAACGUGGGUAAGAGUAACUGUUUACCCAGUGACGGUAUUUAACCAGAAAGCCACGGCUAACUACGUGCCAGCAGCCGCGGUAAUACGUAGGUGGCAAGCGUUAUCCGGAUUUAUUGGGCGUAAAGCGAGCGCAGGCGGUCUUUUAAGUCUAAUGUGAAAGCCUUCGGCUCAACCGAAGAAGUGCAUUGGAAACUGGGAGACUUGAGUGCAGAAGAGGACAGUGGAACUCCAUGUGUAGCGGUGAAAUGCGUAGAUAUAUGGAAGAACACCAGUGGCGAAGGCGGCUGUCUGGUCUGCAACUGACGCUGA
rnacentral:rRNA from 1 species